GACGAACGCUGGCGGCGUGCUUAAUACAUGCAAGUAGAACGCAAAGGGCGGAGCUUUCUUCUCUGGAUGAGUUGCGAACGGGUGAGUAACGCGUAGGUAACCUGCCUGGUAGCGGGGGAUAACUUUUGGAAACGAUAGCUAAUACCGCAUAAGAGCAGAUGCUGCAUGACAUUUGCUUGAAAGGUGCAAUUGUGGCGCUUCCAGUUGGACCUGCGUUGUAUUAGCGUGUUGGUGGGGUAACGGCUCACCAAGGCGACGAGACAUAGCCGGCCUGAGAGGGGGACCGGCCCCAUUGGGACUGAGAGAGGGCCCAGACUGCUACGGGAGGCAGCAGUGGGGAAUAUUGCACAAUGGGCGGAAGCCUGAUGCAGCAGCGCCGCGUGCGGGAUGACGGCCUUCGGGGUGUAAACCGCUUGCGCCUGUGACGAAGCGUGAGUGACGGUAAUGGGUAAAGAAGCACCGGCUAACUACGUG
rnacentral:rRNA from 1 species